CGGGGUGAGUAAUGUCUGGGAAACUGCCUGAUGAAGGGGGAUAACUACUGGAAACGGUAGCUAAUACCGCAUAACGUCGCAAGACCAAAGUGGGGGACCUUCGGGCCUCAUGCCAUAAGAUGUGCCCAGAUGGGAUUAGCUAGUAGGUGGGGUAACGGCUCACCUAGGCGACGAUCCCUAGCUGGUCUGAGAGGAUGCCAGCCACACUGGAACUGAGACACGGUCCAG
rnacentral:rRNA from 1 species